UUAAUCGUAAGCCGCGAAAGUUGGUUGCACCCCCCGGGUCUUCCAUGCUCCGCGCAGAGGGUUACUAUUUAAUCGUAAGCCGCGAAAGUUGGUUGCACCCCCCGGGUCCUCCAUGCUCCGCGCAGAGGGUUACUAUUUAAUCGUAAGCCGCGAAAGUUGGUUGCACCCCCCGGGUCUUCCAUGCUCCGCGCAGAGUGUUCAAGCUU
rnacentral:lncRNA from 1 species